CCGAUGUCCAACUAGCAAAAGUGGAUUUGGACACGCCCUAAACGCACCUGCGCCAUUCGCUUCACGCCAUGCUCUUAGAUCAUUAAAGUAGGGCUCUUAGAUUUAAAACAGGA